UUAAAUGUCACAUUUGACCCGUAAAUGGCAACCACCCCCCCGUUGUCAUUUACGAGUUUGUUUUUUGUCCUGGGUUUUUUGUGAAUAAAUUCGGUGGAAAAUGAGCCUGAAAACUGAAAAGGACAAAGUGAAACAGCUCCAGGACAAGUGCCAGUCCGUCCUUAACAGUUUGUUACGCGACGAGGACAAUAAAUAUUGCGUGGAUUGUGAUUCAAAAGGACCAAGAUGGGCCUCGUGGAACAUCGGGGUGUUCCUAUGCAUCCGAUGCGCGGGCAUCCACAGAAACCUGGGCGUGCACAUCUCCAAAGUGAAAUCGGUGAACUUGGACUCGUGGACCCCGGACCAGGUGGUGUCCUUACAGCAAAUGGGCAACUCCAGGGCCCGAGCGGUCUACGAGGCGAACCUGCCGGACAACUUCCGUAGGCCCCAAAACGACACCAGCCUGGAGUCGUUUAUCCGGGCGAAGUACGAGCACAAGAAGUACAUCGCGAGGGAAUGGGUGCCGCCCCCUUUACCGAAAGUCAAUUGGGAGAAGGAGAUCGACGAGGAAAUCGAGAAGCAGAAGAGGAAGAAGAAAACGAUUAUGGAGAAGAAACCGUUGGCGAACGUGGAGGUGCCCCAGUUACCGAAACCGACGAAUCCCAGUCCGAAACCGUCGCGGUCUCUCAGUAACACGCCCGAGAGUAAGGAGAAGGUUAAGCACAACGGGAGCAGCCACAGCAGCGACUUAUUAGGUAUAAAUAGCGACGAUAGUUUCAGUAGUUUCAUUUCGGCCGCGCCGAUAGACGGCGCCACGGCAAACAGCAACCCUGUCCCCGAAGAGGUGCAAAAGAAUGAAACCAAGGACAGCGUCAAAAGCGAGGAGGAGAGUUUCUUUAAUCAGACCUUACCGGUGCAAAAAGACAAGGCGAAGUUAGAUAAAGACAGUAUUUUAGCUUUAUAUGGUAAUGCGCCGACGAUGCCCCAAUAUCAGAACCCUUACGUUCAACCUCAGGUUCAGGCCGGUUUUCAGCAGAGCUUCGGGGGGUUUCCGCAGGGGGGACAAAUUUCCGGGUUCCCUGUGCAAAGUGGUUACCAGCAACAGUGGCAGAAAAACGCCGCAGGACCGGUUCAGUUUCCUCAAACUCAAAAUACGGGCGCCCAAUAUGGGGUCCAGCAACAAUUCGGCGCCGCCCCCGUCACCGCGAACGCGUUCCAAAACGGCCAACUACCGCCCGCCGCCCAUCACCAGUUCCAGUGUCCGUCAUCGACGAACGCCUACCAAACCGUCGCCGCCCCCGGACAGUUUGGCGGCCACUUCGCCGCCCCCCAUCAACCGCCAACUAAUGCGACGCCGUUCUUUAACGGUGGUUUGAGUCAGAACUUGGGGGCGCCGUUGCCGAUUCAGCAGCAGUUUGGCAACUUAACGUUGAACGGGCAAACGAACAUUUGGCAAUAGCGCGUAACAGAAAAAACGGGGUUUUAGGUUAAAAAUGUCACAAAAACAAAUUUAUAUCCGUGGAAGAGACAAAGAACUAUUCUCUCAGUACCAUUGGAAGUCCAAACGUUAAAAUAUGUGCAAAUGUGAUAACAACCACCAAAACUCCUUAAAGUUUCACUUACCUGCUUGCCAAUAAGAUAAAAAAAAAAUUAUAGUAAGUUAACGGUAAGUAAGUUACGGUUUGAAGAUUUAGAAGUUUUUAAAGACGGACAUGUCCAUUACUGGAUCAGUGAUGGACUCAUCUACUUAAAAAAUAUAUAAAUAUCAAUAUAUAUUAGCAACAAUCAGCACUAAAUUUUGGAAAAUGUAAUCAGGAAUAAUCAAAAAACAGAAACGGAAGGAAGGAAUGAACGUUAUUCAUUUUGUUUUUUACGUUUAAAUUCUACCAAUUUACUGUCUGGAACAUGGCUUCGUUUCUCUGGAACAAAUCAAUUUUUCUUUUAAACUUUUAAUACUCAACCCCUGUAUAAAUGAAGGAUAACCCUCGUACAUAAUUUUUCCCUUUUUUCAUUUGUUCUCGCUCUCAGUCGGACACGUGUCUUGCCAAAAUUCAUCAGUUUUAAUUUAGGGCCUAACGCCUCGAGGGUGGGUGGGUUUACGUCCUAUUCGUUUAGUAGAUAGGUAGGUAACGUUGAUUUAAUUAAAGGAAAAAUAAACAAAUAAAGAAUUUAUAAAGAUAGGGUUUAAAAUAUUAAUAAUAAUAAUAAUAAAGAAUUUAAAAGUAUAUGAUAUUAAAUUAUAAUUGUGGCAGUGCAAUUUCAUUUAGCAACGAUUUUAAUUUUUAUGGAUCUCCUGCUCCUCCGUAUGGGUGAUUGCUUUUGAAGUAAUCCUACCAUAUGCCAAUAAACCCAGUAAGAAAGAGAGAGAGGGCGAUACCAAACUUUUUAAGCAUGCGCUUACCAACCAAUUUCAUUGUGAGAUAGACUUAUAACAUCGUCCUUUAAUAUCGUUAUCUCUCUCUCUAAGUUGGCCCCGCUUUUCUAUUAUUGAGUUUAUAAUAUACCAUUUCUGUCAAAUUUUUGGGUGUUGCAAUGUAACUAAAAAAAAGGUGCAUUUCACGUUAAAACUAUUAUUUUGAACUCGUUCAUCUUUUUUUACUGAACGUGUAUAGUAUUAUUAUUUAUAUAGUAGUUAUUUUUUUAAUUUGUUGUUGAAUUUUUUGUACCACACUGUGUAUACAUGCUGGUUUUGAUUGCUCUCCGUUGUUUCAGGGAUACGGGGUGAAAAUGAGAAGAUUAGUUAAAAGGGUGUCGUAACUGAGGGCCUUUAUAAGUUGAUAAAAUCGGAUGGUUCAGUGGCGUAGUUUGAAGAAAAUGGAGAUUUGCCCCAAAUUUGGUCUCUUUUUAAAUGGUAUUUGUUUUACCUAAAAUAUCAACAAGAGCCAUAGAAUGAUGGAAUCAUAGUAGGUCACGAAAGGGAAAGAAUGAUAAUCGUUUCAAAAAUUGAAAACUAUAGGAGAAAAGGUACUGGAAACCCUCGCUUUCUCUGUCCGGUAAUUAGUACAAUUUUAAUACAAAAAUUUAACGAAAGUUGUAAAAAAUGUUAAUAGAAUAUAGUACUAUUAUUGAAAUAUUGUACUAAAAACAAUCACUCUAUAAUAUUUCUCCUUAUCACAAUUUUUGAAUUUAAAUUAAAACAUUUUUAGAAAUUUCUUAGUGAUGCGAAACCUUACGCGUAACGUGUUUUUGAUAUACAUUUUUCAAUAGUACAAAAUUCAGUUUUAUGUUACAAUGUGUACUGAAAAUUAUUAAGAUCUUUUUAAUUUGUUUCAAUUUUGAUGAAAAAAAUUGAAAAAAAAAAACGUGUAGUAAUGCAAGGUCUCUGUAAUAAUCUCUAUAAAUAGUACAAAAUUCUGUUAACGUUUUGUACUAUUUGCCGCUUAGUUAUAGAGGAAAGUUGCCUAUUAUCGGAUACUUUUUUCUUUUAAUUAACAAAAUAUACCUACAUACCACAUAAAUUAAUUGCAUGUUAAAAACGGUUAGGAUGAUAUACCUAUGUUCUUUCAUUAUGUGACACGAAAUAGCUCUAACUUUCAUAAAAGUUAAAAAAAAAAAACAUAACAGUGCAUAAAUGAUUAUUUUGAAAUUAGGUUCCUUAUAUCGGAUAGUAGGUGUUCCUAAUAUCGCAUAUAUCGGAACUUAAACGUUUAAAAUAAACAGCAUAGGUAUUUGUUUAGAUUUUUAUUAAUAUUAAAUUGAAAAUACGUUCAAAAACUUUAUGAAAAACCGUCAAGUUAAUCUAAGCACAUCUCACAAGUAAACCAUAGAUUUUUGUCAGUUCCUGCACAUUCUUCAUGGCACCAACGAAAGCAUUGAUUGCAUCUGAUCCACUUUUCCCCUGAUCUGUCCUCUGAAUAAAAAUUAUUGCAAUACAGACACUCGGCGUCUUCGGCAUCUCUGUCCAUAUCAUCAUCACUGUCUACUAACUGCAAUUCAGUAUCAGUGUCAUCAUCACUGGAUGAGGUGAGAGGUUUUUUAGCUUUUCCCUUCCCUUUACCAUUUUUUUGGUUUAGUUUUUGUGCUUCUGUUUUGACCCUUAAGUGCAGUGUUAAUCGAAACUGUUUUUAAUUUUCUUUUGUUUAAAGCUUCUUCCGGUUCUGAUUUGUAAGGCGAUCCAGUUAUUAACGCAGUAGUACCACGUCUUCCUCGCUUAUUCGUAGAUCCGGACGUGUACGAGCAACGAGGCAUAGGGCUGAUAUCUGUCGGUUUCACCAACUUUCUGUUUGUAAAAGGAGUGGUCAAGCUAUUUAUUAAGGGUUUUGUGGGGAUAGCAUUAGGUGUUUUAAUCCUGUCCCUCAUAGAAAAUAGAGGUAUUUCAUCUUCGCUUUCUAUUUCCUCCGAUUCUGGCCUGUUCUCAUCAAGUUGUUGGGGUGGUGGCGGGGUUCUUUCACGUUGGGAUCAUCGUCUCGGAAUACAUGUCUGUUGAGCGGAAAAAUUCCACAUUUUCUAAAAUCAUUUACGGCCACUUCAACGCUUGCAGCACGUAGGUAUGCUCUCCCUAGCAGCUCAGCGACCUGAUAGUGAGUUACCACCCUUCCUGGCUUAUUUUUGAGCCAUGACUCCAAUGCAUAAUAUGUUUUAAAUGGAUACAUAAAAGCUACGUCUAGGGGUUGUAUCUUAUGUGUCGAAUGAGGAGGUAGACAUAACACAUGCACAUAGUUUUCCCUUGCUAAAUCAAUUAAAGGGAUGUUGCGCGUAUGAGAGUAGUGCCCGUCUAAUAUCAAAACCACUGGCUCACCCUUUGCUGGUUUAACAUGCUUUAUAAAAUGUGUUAACCAAGCUGUAAACAGAUCAUGCUGAAUCCAACCAGAAGGAUAACAUCUGGCGAUCGUUCCUGGCGGUGCUCCAUUUAGGAGUUCAGCCUUCAUAUUUUUUCUAGGAAAUACUAGCAUAGGUGGCACAUAUAUUCCGGUAGCGCUCAUACAAGUCACUACAGUAACAAGAGCUCCCCUUUCGGAUGUCGUCAAGGCCCCAACUUGCCUUUUACCUAGUAAGCUGAGAACCCUUGAAUGUUUUUGUUGAACAGUUGUAAUGCCUGUUUCAUCUUCAUUAAAUAAUCUGGCUGGAUUCAAUUUGAUUUCUGCUAAGGCUGGCUCUAACAGAUCAAAAAAAGCCGCGCAAUUUUCUCGAGUAAACCCUUUUAUGCGAGCUGUAGAUACACCCUGUGGCUUACUAAAACUCAGUUCAGGAUGUCUCUUUAAAAACCCUUUUUGCCACUUUUUUCCUGCACUUGAUUUCGUCAUAGAAAAAGGGUGUUGUAGCCCGUUCUGGAUAGCUAGCUGAAACGCUAGCCUUCUAAUAUCGGAAGCUCUUAGUCCAUAAAACCGUUUCUCCAUAUCUAAACAAUAUGUAACUAACAGAUUUUCAAUUUCGUUGGUUAGCGCAGGUUUUCUUCCUAAUUUCGUAGCUGUUAAUACUUCUAUUAGCUUGUCUGAUUUUACGUAAUCAACAAGGGUACUUCUUGGAACUUUAUAUAUUUUUGACGCUUUUAAAUACCCCAUUUCUUUGCUUCUAAUAGCAUUAACCGCAAGCUCCAUGGCUCUUGCAUCCCAUGUUUUACGACCUUUCUCUUGUUUUCCGUUCAUCUAGAAAAAAAAGCAAAAAACCUCCUUAAUCAAGGUCAAAAGUAAUAAUAAUAUGGUAUAUGAAACUUAUUCUCAUUUAUUAUUAAAAAAAAAGAGAGUAAAACGCAAGUAUCUAUGACAGAAAAUCAGUUGAUUCAUUUAAAAAUAGCUCCAGAAAACUGGUUCCAAAUAUCGGAUACUAUACGAUAUUAGGAAACCAAAAGUAUCCGAUAUUACGAUACAUAACCUCACUACAUUUACCGUUUUUUUUACAUUUAAAAAAUAGUUCACAGAAGCAAUUUAUACAUUAAAAGAUAUCAUCUGCAAUCUACUUAAUGAUAUGGUAUGUAACAAACCAAUAAUUUAACCUACCUUUUCCAGAAAUAACGCCAAAAAUUAUACACUGUUAAAAUCUAUGCACAUCGAAAACCGUUACAGUAGCAAAAUAACGUUUUGUAAACAUUGAUAGGAUUCUGUAAUUAUUGUAGGAAAUGAUCUGCGUAAUUGUUCUCUCGAUUACUAUGGAAGUUACGAGAUGGCGCUGUGCUAUUACAGAUUUAGAGUAAUGUCCGAUAUUAGGAACCUAUGCAGUAUUAGGCUACUUUCCUCUAUAUUAAAAUUGUACUAAAAAAAUUGUAUGCGUUGCCACUAAGAAAUAUCCAAUCCAAUGAAAAAAAUAUGAUAGAUGGGGGAAUUGCGUAGUAGUGACGACUUUAGUACAAUUUUAAUACAAAAUGGCGUGGCAAAAAGUACAAUAUAAGAACAUUUCGAACUAUUCAAUUAAAUUGUACUAAACAAUUCCAACCACUAGGUACGUAAUUUCUCCAUUUACCGCAACUUUUACAUUUGCAUUGAUUCAUUUUAGAAAUUUCUUAGUGAUGCGAGGCCUCUGGCCACACACAAGACGUUUUAAGUACAAUUUUUUAAUAAAUAGUACACAAUUCUGUUAAUGUUUUGUACUAUUUGCCACCUAGUUUUAUAUUAAAAGUGUACUAAAAAAACUUUAUGUGUGGUCACUCUAAGAAAUGUCCAAUUUGUUUCAAUUCAAUGAAAAAAUAUAUGAUAGAUAUAAGAAUUGCGUGGUAGUGACGACUUUAGUACAAUUUUAACACAAAAUGGCGUGACAAAUAAUACAAAACAAUAUCAAAAUUUUGUAUUAUUUAAUAAAAUUGUAAUAAAAACCUCUUGUAAUUUCACCAUUUAUCGCAAAAUUUACAUUUGCAUUGAUUGAUUUUAAAAAUGCCUUAGUGAUGCGAGGCCUCUGGCCACGCAUAAGGCCGUUUUAGUACAAAUGUUAACACAAAACUGAGUGACAAAUAGUAAAAAACAUUGUACUACUAAAAACCCCUGGUGCGUGGUCAAAUCAAGCAGUGUCUCUAUUUAUGACAACGUUUACCUUUAAAUUGAUCCACUUUAGAACUGACUUAGUUAUAUAAGACAGUUUUAGUACAAUUUUAAUACAAAACCGGGCGAUAAACUGUGUCUUAUUUAACAAUUUGUAUUUAUAAUCAGUUCCUAGGUUAUUUUAGUCCGAAUAUGUUUUUCUUUUAAAUUAUAAAAAAAAAUACAUGCUGCUCCAUUUAAAUAAGGGCAAAUUUGGCAAAUAUCUCCUGAAAGUAUAAGAAAAACGGCAACAAUGACCUACUUUUUACUAAAACUUAUAGAGGACCUAAAAUAUUAAUUAUAGCAUCCUUAGGUUCUACCGGUUAAUAUUUAAGCCUGCAAUUACAACCAAAAUGGGCCACAGUGUACAUAGUUUUUCGGCUUAAUUUUUAUGUACUUGUAAUUUAAAUAUAUCACAAAUAUAACAGA
rnacentral:misc_RNA from 1 species